rnacentral:rRNA from 1 species
CCUACGGGCGGCUGCAGUAGGGAAUCUUCCACAAUGGACGAAAGUCUGAUGGAGCAACGCCGCGUGUGUGAUGAAGGGUUUCGGCUCGUAAAACACUGUUGUAAGAGAAGAAUGACAUUGACAGUAACUGUUCAGUGUGUGACGGUAUCUUACCAGAAAGGAACGGCUAAAUACGUGCCAGCAGCCGCGGUAAUACGUAUGUUCCAAGCGUUAUCCGGAUUUAUUGGGCGUAAAGCGAGCGCAGACGGUUGUGUGAGGUCGGAGGGAAAGGCCAGAGCUUAAAUGAGGAAGUGCUUUGGAAGCUGGAUAACUUGAGUGCAGUAGAGGAGAGUGGAACUCCAUGUGUAGCGGUGAAAUGCGUAGAUAUAUGGAAGAACACCAGUGGCGAAGGCGGCUCUCUGGACUGUAACUGACGCUGAGGCUCGAAAGUGUGGGUAGCAAACAGGAUUAGAUACCCUUGUAGUC